UGGGGAAUCUUCCGCAAUGGACGAAAGUCUGACGGAGCAACGCCGCGUGAGUGAUGACGGCCUUCGGGUUGUAAAGCUCUGUUAAUCGGGACGAAUGGUUCUUGUGCGAAUAGUGCGAGGAUUUGACGGUACCGGAAUAGAAAGCCACGGCUAACUACGUGCCAGCAGCCGCGGUAAUACGUAGGUGGCAAGCGUUGUCCGGAAUUAUUGGGCGUAAAGCGCGCGCAGGCGGAUUAGUCAGUCUGUCUUAAAAGUUCGGGGCUUAACCCCGUGAUGGGAUGGAAACUGCCAAUCUAGAGUAUCGGAGAGGAAAGUGGAAUUCCUAGUGUAGCGGUGAAAUGCGUAGAUAUUAGGAAGAACACCAGUGGCGAAGGCGACUUUCUGGACGAAAACUGACGCUGAGGCGCGAAAGCCAGGGGAGCGAACGGGAUUAGAUACCCCGGUAGUCCUGGCCGUAAACGAUGGGUACUAGGUGUAGGAGGUAUCGACCCCUUCUGUGCCGGAGUUAACGCAAUAAGUACCCCGCCUGGGGAGUACGACCGCAAGGUUG
rnacentral:rRNA from 1 species